rnacentral:rRNA from 1 species
UGGGGAAUCUUGCACAAUGGAGGAAACUCUGAUGCAGCGACGCCGCGUGGACGACGAAGCCCUUCGGGGUGUAAAGUCCUUUCGACCGGAACGAUAAUGACGGUACCGGUGGAAGAAGCUGCGGCUAACUACGUGCCAGCAGCCGCGGUAAUACGUAGGCAGCAAGCGUUGUUCGGAAUUACUGGGCGUAAAGAGUUCGUAGGCGGUGCGGUAAGUUCGGUGUGAAAUCUCCCGGCUCAACUGGGAGGGUGCGCUAAAUACUGCCGUGCUCGAGUAUAGGAGAGGAAAGCGGAAUUCCUGGUGUAGCGGUGAAAUGCGUAGAUAUCAGGAGGAACACCUGUGGUGUAGACGGCUUUCUGGACUAUAACUGACGCUGAGGAACGAAAGCGUGGGUAGCAAA